AACAAGGUGCUCCAAGAGCAAAAGGAACGGAAGCUAAGUAUCUCAUUUUGGGUCCUUGGUUUUUCCUUUAGCAAUGCUGGCUUGCUGAGGUAAGUUUGGUCCCCGUGUUGCCGGAGCGUGGGAAGGACGCUUGCGGUGAGAGGACGCACCCCACACGUGGCUCGUGGGUCCGUACCGGAGGCGUGCGCGCUGGGGUAGUUAACCUGCGGGCGGAGUGACCAGCCGCUGUUGUUUGGUCCUAGGUCGGCACCGCGGGUCCGUCCUGGAUCCCUAGUCUGGCCAACCAUGUAGUUGGCGAGUCCCCAGAUACGCAAGGGUAAAGCACGAGAAGGAUAGAACCCCUCCCCGGCAAGCUAGUCUUAGGCAAAGAAGCAAGUAAAAAUAGCAUCAGAUAUAUAUCAAAGCUUGAGCCAAAUGAGUUGCCGAGUAACACUGAUAAUGACAAGGGAAAGCUAACAUAAAAAAGCUCCAAGGCGCCACGUGCCGCUUGCAGGAAAAUAAAAAAAAGGAAGGAAACUAUGUGGGAGGUGCUCCCGGGGCCGCUGCGUCGGUGUCAGGGGCAUCCUAGGCAUCUGGGGCUUCCCCGGCAACCUCCUCAGCAGU
rnacentral:lncRNA from 1 species